GACAGAGGUGCCAAGCGUUAGGCGGAAUCACUGGGCUUAAAGCGUGUGUAGGUGGAUUUGUAAGUACCUUGUGAAAUCCCACGGCUCAACCGUGGAACUGCUCGGUAUACUGCGAAUCUUGAGCCACUUAGGGGCUACCGGAACAAAUGGUGGAGCGGUGAAAUGCGUAGAUAUCAUUUGGAACGCCAAUGGUGAAAACAGGUAGCUGGGAGUGUGCUGACACUGAGACACGAAAGCCAGGGGAGCGAACGGG
rnacentral:rRNA from 1 species